AUGCAGAGACUCGGGGCCCAUGUUAACAUAUCUGGAUUUGACUCUCCUGAAGUACGUUACACGCAAAUUAAUUUCUUUCCAUGUAGGAUGAAAAAAAAAAUUUCGAACAUUCCAAAUAUUCAGAUUCUAUACAUAUCUGGCUUAUGUGUAGUUUUGAAUAUUCAGAUUCUAUGUAAUAAAAAAGAAUGCACAGAUAGACGUCAACUAUCACCAAGAAGAAGGUCAGGUUCAAACAACUGGUGCUUUGUUGUGAAGAUCCUUUAAUUAUUCUUUGCAAAAAUCCAUAA
rnacentral:lncRNA from 1 species